CAAAAAACAAGUUGCAAAUGUCAAAUACAAAAAUGAAUCGAAUUUAAUUCUGUGAAAAUAUCCAAGCGAAAAGAAAAAUGUAUUUCACAAUCAAGAGGAUAAAAGAAAAAGAUGAACGCGGGAGAAUUUGAGGUUUGUUAAGGUGUUGAAGGACUUGGGGUCUUGGGAGGUAGCAGAUGAUUCAGAGAGGACACCUUUAUGUUUGCGGGGAAGGGCAGGAUGCGUACCUUGCUGCAUUUGUAUAAAACAACGAAGGAUAACAAAAAUCGAACGAGUUCCUGUUCGUACUUCGGUCUGUAUGAGGAGCUAACGGAUGAGAUAUUUGGCAAUGGCAAAAUUAUCUCAUUACGAUGCAUUUAGAGAGGGACCAGUGCAGAUGUUAGACGAUGACUCGGAAUCACCAAUGACAUCAUCACCGUUGCUGUCCCAAUUAUCUCAAAAUGAGUACUGGUGUACGCAAGGUAUACAAGGGAUCGAGAUAUGUAUGAAUGCACCAAAAGGUUCAGAAUAAUAAGAGGAAUCGAUUUAGCCGUGCUUGUCCGUCCGUUCGUUUGUCUGUGGUGGCCGCGUGUACUGUUACUAGAGCUAUAUUUUUUAUGUACAUAUAUAGUGGCACUUAGAGCUGCUAACAGAUAUUACAGUGUUCUUACUUCGAUUAGUUGUAUGUUGCAGUCCAGUUUUCAUUUCCAAGAAAAAAAGUCGGGAAUAACGGAUCAGAACUAAUUAAUCCGUGAAUGCUGCUGUGUGGUGGCCAUUCAUAAUCAAAUUUACUAUUUUUCAUUAAAAAAAAUUCAAUGAAAACAGCCUAUUUCAUUUUAAAUAUUUUCAUUGAAUUUAACUGUUUAUAUAAAAUCAA